AUUAACACUCAAAAACAGUAGCCCCUCACUGCAGAACAAAGAUCCAGGGGGCAGGGUUGAAUCCACAUCUAGGGGGGGGAGAUGGUAGGGUUAGGGGUGGAGAUGGGUAAGUUUAGGGGUGGAGAUGGGUGGGUUUAGGGAUCAGGGGGUGGAGACGGGU